AUAGAUAUGGUUAUGAUGCUAUUUCCUCUCUUCGAAUGAUUUUAACAAGGAGAUGGUGCUCACAUACCUUACUGAUGCUAGUUGUUCACAUGUACAGUCCCCAUUCAAAGAGUGGCUCCAAAAGUUGCUUGCCCUUAGUUAGCAUAGACAUUCAACCUCACCUGAGCAGUAA